rnacentral:lncRNA from 1 species
GCCCUGCCCUGCCCUGCCCGGCCCGGCCCUGCCCGCAGCGCCUCAGGGGGAACGCACCAACUGUGCAGCUCCAGGGCCGGCCCAAGCCCCUCCGCGAGCGCGGAAGCAACGCCACCCUACCAUAGGCGACCCCCGCCCCGGGAUGCUUCCCCCGAGGCGACUGCUCGCCUGCAGCUGCAGGCUCCCACCCAACCAAAUAAUUCUUGAUGCUGCAUGGAACCACACUGGUAUCACAAUCUUGCAAUACCUCCUGCACCAACUACUAUGCUUGUAAAUUUUGUUUAUCUGGGAAUUUUAAGUGGCAAGAGCAAGAAAUAUCAAGACAGGCAGCAUUUUAAAAAUCCCUCUAUAAAGUCACAAGCUUGCUUAGUUUAUUUUGAUGGAGGAUGAUGGUUUUAUUUUGCAGAAACAUAAGAAGGAAGCUGUGAGGGGCUGGAAGGAAGAUGCUGCCUUGCAAGAACCCAUCUGAACAGUGUCAUGUGCUGCACAAAGAGGUCCUGCUGCAGAUUUCUGCUCUCACCAACACCAGCAGUCAAGGGCUCCUGCAGUCUCACAGGAUGUUCCCUGAGCUUUGCCAAAUGACUGAACAUCCCACAGUGACCUGGACAUGGAAAAUUUCGUCCUCUUGUAGAAAAAUCCUAUUGAUGUUCUUCAGAUUUAGUACAGUACCAAGAUCCCCUGUCUGUUGGCCUAACAAGCAGAUUUAAUUCAGCUCUCCAAGCAGGGAGCCCUGCAGAAAAAAAAAUGUCCUUCAG